GACGAACGCUGGCGGCGUGCUUAACACAUGCAAGUCGAACGGAAAGGCCCUGCUUUUGUGGGGUGCUCGAGUGGCGAACGGGUGAGUAACACGUGAGUAACCUGCCCUUGACUUUGGGAUAACUUCAGGAAACUGGGGCUAAUACCGGAUAGGAGCUCCUGCUGCAUGGUGGGGGUUGGAAAGUUUCGGCGGUUGGGGAUGGACUCGCGGCUUAUCAGCUUGUUGGUGGGGUAGUGGCUUACCAAGGCUUUGACGGGUAGCCGGCCUGGGAGGGUGACCGGCCACAUUGGGACUGAGAUACGGACCAGACUCAUACGGGAGGCAGCAGUGGGGAAUAGUGCACAAUGGGCGGAAGCCUGAUGGAGGAACGCCGCGUGCGGGAUGACGGCCUUCGGGUUGUAAACCGCUUUCGCCUGUGACGAAGCGUGAGUGACGGUAAUGGGUAAAGAAGCACCGGCUAACUACGU
rnacentral:rRNA from 1 species